GGAGUUGUGCCUGAAGUAUAGGGCCACUUUGAUAGAGUGAACCAUGGGGGUUAGAGUCCCCCCAGCUCCU
rnacentral:tRNA from 1 species